rnacentral:sRNA from 1 species
GCAAAGAACAAGUGGCGCGCUCCAGCGAUUUUCUCGAUGGGCAACUGACCUUUCGUGAGCGCCUGCUUAUGCGCCAUCACUUGUUGUUCUGUGCCAAUUGCCGGCGUUUCAUCCGCCAGAUGCGUCUGAUGCAGGCUACGUUGCGCAUCUUGCCUGAGCCAGAAGUGAGCGAUGCCCAAGCGUUGGCCGAACGCCUGGCCGCGGAGCUUAAACGCAACUCCUGAUCCCUGAGCUGUCCGUAGCACCCCAAGCCUGCGAUGUCCCCGUCGCGGGCU